rnacentral:rRNA from 1 species
UCCACAAACGUGGGCAAUUUGCCUUAAAGUGUGGGAUAGCUCGGCGAAAGCCGAAUUAAUACCGCAUGUGGCUACUGGAGACAUCUUCGGGACGCUAAAGGUGGCGCAAGCUACCGCUUUUUGAGGAGCCCGCGGCCUAUCAGCUUGUUGGUGAGGUAACGGCUCACCAAGGCGUUGACGGGUAGCUGGUCUGAGAGGACGACCAGCCACACUGGGACUGAGACACGGCCCAGACACCUACGGGUGGCAGCAGUCGAGAAUUUUUGACAAUGGGGGAAACCCUGAUCGAGCGACGCCGCGUGGAGGAUGAAGGUCUUCGGGUUGUAAACUCCUGUCAUUUGGGAACAAGGCGUAUGUAUUAACUGUACGUGCGUUGAUAGUACCAGAAGAGGAAGAGACGGCUAACUCUGUGCCAGCAGCCGCGGUAAUACAGAGGUCUCAAGCGUUGUUCGGAUUCAUUGGGCGUAAAGGGUGUGUAGGUGGCGCGCUAAGUCGGGUGUGAAACUUCGGAGCUUAACUCCGAAACUGCAUUCGAUACUGGCGUGCUUGAGGACUGGAGAGGAGACUGGAAUUCUCGGUGUAGCA